CUGAAAAUGACAUCAGUAGCUUUCAGACGGCUCUCUAUACAUCCAGCACAUUCAUCAGUACCCGUGACCUGCACCAGUGCCCUAGCCCCCAGGAAUGCUGGCAUAUCGACUUCACAGAUAGGAGAACAGUGGCCGAAGCAGGGGGAGCCCUUCGGCACAAGUGCCCUGAAGCAGGACCCACGGUCGUCCAGUCCACCGCGACCCGCCGCCCCGCUGCUCCUUCAUGACCCGGGAGACCCCGCACGUCUGAAGUUCUUCCGGCCUUGCUUGCUUCCUGCAUAAAGUGCAGAUUAUGACGUCUGCAUCCAGAGACACAGAACCAAUGGGAUAUACAGAGGGAGAGAUCUGAGUUAAUUUCAUAAAGACUCGGCCCACGCGUAAGUGGAACCUGGCAAGUCUGGAACGUCAGGGCAGAGGGCGAAUGAGGCUGAGCCACGAGGGGGGCCAGCCAGCAAGAGCAGGGACAGCUUCUUCCCCAACAGCCUCAGGGCAAAGGGGCUGCUUUGGGAAGCCCCAGACCUUGCUCUGACCCAUCGCAGGAGACCCACCCAUAUGACGGGAGGUUAUGUGCUUCAGCGGACGUCUGCGGACACGAAAUCCCUCCCCGGCUGCGUGCAGACGGCAGUGUGAGCAAGCAGUGGGGCACCAUGGCCGCCUGGCCACGCUGGCAUGUGACCUUCGCCUUCGCUGUGUUCAGAGGCCAGUGCAAGGUGGGGUCCAGAGUGUUGUCCUGCUCAAGGUGCCUGCCCCUGACAAACUCCACAGCCUGGAGUCUCAGCCAGGGGCAGGGGCCAGGAGCCAGGGGACAGGGGCCAAGAGCCAGGGGUCAGGAGGGACCAGGGCCAGAUGUGAGGGGCCAGGAGGGGCCAGGGGUCAGGGGCCAGGAGCCAAGGGUCAGGGGCCAGGAGGGGCCAGGGCCAGAUGUGAGGGGCCAGGAGGGGCCAGGGCCAGAUGUGAAGGACCAGGAGGGGCCAGGGCCAGAUGUGAGGGGCCAGGAGGAGCCAGGGGUCAGGAUCCAAGAGGCAGGCGCCAGGAGGGGCCAGGUUCCAGGGGGCAGAGGGCAGGUGAGGGGACCUCCAGCUCAGGACCACCCCCUGGACAGCCGUCCCCACUUGAGCACCAGCUGAGGACACCCCCCGACGGCCUUCCACGCUGGUGUCUCUUCUCUCCGUGUGUGUUUGUGUUUCCUCAUGUUUGAGCAUCUAUUUAUUCUGUCCUAAAAACACUUCAGCCCCCGGCCCGCUGCCUCGUUUUCCGCUGCCCGUCCCUGUUCUCCUCACGCCCCCCUACCCCCCGGCCGCCCGCCUUCCGCAUCCUGAGUGCCUGUCACUGCUUCCUGAGCGGCCUCGCUGUGCCCACAUGCACAGGUGCUUUCUCCUUCUGCCCCAUCCUGCCCCUUCGCGGCCUCCAGGCCUGCGCGGUCGGAGCACUCGGGUAGCUGAUUCGAUUUGAUUCGAUUUGAUUUUGUUCACUUCACUCUUUCUCCUUUUCAUCAUUUAUCUCUAUGUUUUCAUUUUCCUACUCCAUUUGUAAAGCCUUUGCUCUAGCGAUUCUGUUCUCCAACCUUCAUUACUUGGAGGGGCUCCCUGUUUACUAAGUAUUUUCCCGUAGGUCUGUGUCACCUGAAAACGGGUCUGGGAUGCACAGCGAGUCCUGUCACGGGUGCCAACUUAGACCCUCUCGAAUUUUGCACCUGGUGCGGGCACACACGGCCCCACCUGGCCCCACCCAGCUCCCACUCGGCCCCACUCGGCCCCACGCGGCCCCACGCGGCCCCACUUAGCUCCCACUCAGUCCCAAAAGGCCACAUUCCAGGUCUUUGCCAAAUGAAGGGGCUUCUGAAACACUGUCUCGGUGCUAUGGGGUCUGCACCCCUGUCUGCCACUGGAGCUGGACACCUGAGCCCCCACCCAGGUGUGUUCUGUCCAGAUGAGGUGGCCUCCCGGCUCUGGCGCCAGACCUGCCUCCUCCCUGAGGGCUGUGCUGCCUGCUUCACCUCUCUGUGCCUCGGUUUCCCCCGCUCUAAUGUGUUCCUAGUAACGCACGGGGAGGCAGGUGUGCAGACAGGACCCCUCCAGAGUCUUCUCAGCACAGCUGCUCGCUUCCUCCCGACAAUGGGGGAUGUGGAAGGUGUGGUCUGUGGGCACAGCGGGAUGCCAUCCAGCCCCGAGAGGGGGAUCCUGCCCUGUGACACCACGGGUGAGCCUUGAGACACGAGGCUAAGGGAGAGAAGCCAGAUACAGGAAAACAAGUAGCGUAUGAUCCUCCUUACAGGGGAAGGUAAACCAGUCGGAUCCAUAGAGUCAGUGAGCCAGUGGGGUUGCAGGGGGUGGGGAGGGCACUGGAGUCACUAAUCAACGGGGGUAACAAGGUAGAGCAAGGGAACCAGCUCUAGAGCACCGCCCAGGGCUGUGCCUGUCGUCAGCUGUGAUGGGCUGAACCUGUGUUAGGUGUUCCCACCACAACAAAAUAAAAUUAAGGGAAGAGAGAGAGACAGUGUGUGUCUCCAGGCUGGGGCUUGCUUCUCCCAGGGACUUGCUCUCUAACUCAGUCUCCUUUCUAACUACUUCUAGUCCUUGCUAAAUGUCCCGGCGUUGACAGAGCCUCAGCACGCCGACUGCCACGCCUGACCCAGUUACAGAACACAGCAGCCCGCUUAACCCUAAUGCCCCCUGGGGCUUAGGUCCCACCCGCGAGCGGCUUCUCUUGGUACGCAGCACCUCGGCCCCUCACCUGACAGUGUGGACCCACACGAUGAGGCUGCCACUCCCGUCCCUCGCCCCCACCCCUGCCUUGCCACCGCGCCACCCACCGGCAACUUGACUGCAGGCAGCUGUAACACAUUACAAUUAUUUGCAGCAGGAAGGAAGCCUCCCCCAAAGCACUGACUUCUAGGAACCUCCGUCUUGAUUCCAAGAAUAAUAUUUGUGGCUGACACCAUGAGUAUGCUAUGAUGGCCACGAGCUGCCUCUCUUUCCAGCUCUCAAGGCGGUGCCAAGGACUCUGCACGCUGUCCCCUGCUCGGUUCCACCCGUUCUGCCGUUUAGCAAAUUGCUUUCCUGGUCCUCUCUCGCGGUGAAGUAUGGUUGACGGGAGGCCGAACCAUCGCCCCGUCAAACGCAAGCAAGUCACUAGAAGGCACAACACAUGGAGGAGGCCCAGGGUUUGUUUAAAACAGGGAAGGUGUCAGGAGCAGUACCCGACCCUAAACAGGAAGGGGAAACUGACGCCUGCUCCAGCGCGAUGAGCCAUGAUGCCCGAGAGAGAGAGAAUGAGCGGGUGAAGGGCAGAGAGGGAGACACAGAAUCCAAAGC